rnacentral:rRNA from 1 species
UACGAAGGGUGCAAACGUUGCUCGGAAUUAUUGGGCGUAAAGCGCACGUAGGCGGCUUUGCAAGUCGGAUGUGAAAUCCCUCGGCUCAACCAAGGAAGUGCAUCCGAAACUGCAGAGCUUGAGUACCAAAGAGGAUCGCGGAAUUCCCGGUGUAGAGGUGAAAUUCGUAGAUAUCGGGAGGAACACCUGUGGCGAAAGCGGCGCACUGGACCACAACUGACGCUGAGGCGGCGAAAGCUAGGGGAGCAAACAGG